rnacentral:rRNA from 1 species
UUUGAUCCUGGCGUCAGGGAUGAACGCUAGCGGCAGGCCUAAUACAUGCAAGUCGUACGGGAUUGCCCCUUCGGGGGCGAUGAGAGUGGCGACGGGUGCGCAACGCGUAUGCAACCACCCCCGACUGGCGCACAGCCGGUGGAAACGCCGGGUGAUACGCCGUGCGGCGCGCGAGGGGCAUCCCUCGUGCGCGAUAGCCUUCGGGCGCCGGGGACGGGCAUGCGUCCCAUUAGGUAGUUGGCGGUGCAACGGGACCACCAAGCCUACGAUGGUAGGGGAUCUGAGAGGACGGUCCCCCACACUGGCACUGAGACACGGGCCAGACUCCUGCGGGAGGCAGCAGUAGGGGAUAUUGGGCAAUGGGGCAACCCUGACCCAGCCAUGCCGCGUGAGGGAAGUAGGCCCUACGGGUCGUGAACCUCUUUAUUCGGGACAACUGCGCGGUCGGGAACCGUGCUUGAGGGUACCGAAGGAAUAAGCAUCGGCUAACUCCGUGCC